UGGGAAGGGUCAUGGUGAAGGGACUUUGGAGCAGGAACCUGGAGAAAUAAGGGAAUAAACUCCUGUAUUUCUGAGGGAUGAGCAUUCAGUGAAUCUGUUACAGAGCAGUUGCUUAUCGAGACUUUCUUUCCCUUUGAGGUUGUUUUCUCAAAGCUGAGCAUGACCAAAAAAAUAGAAGUGAUCAUAACAAACACACAUGCAUACAUGCAAACAAAUACUCACCAUCCCUUCUCUGGCUACAAGUGAAAGGGAGAAAGAAGGGAGGUCAGAGAGAGAGCCACUGCUUUUACCCAAUACCUGCCACGUGCCAGACAUAAACAUCAGAGAUCACUAUCCCAUUGAAUGGUGGAGGAAACCAAGGGCCCACUGUAAGUUCAUGGGAGCUAGUGCUCUUUAAAGAUCAAAUGUCGGGGGUCAGACUGCUGGGCUUCAAAUUCCAUCCCUGCCACUUACUAACUGGGUGACAUUGGGAAAGUUUCUUAGCUUCCCUGAAUAUCAGUUCCCUUAUCUUCAAAAACAAGGACAAUAAGAGUUCGUAUCUCAAAGCAGUGUUGUGACUGUGGAAUAAGGUAACUAAUGUAAAGUCUUCAACAUUCAGUAAGUAUUAGCUACUCUUGUGAUGGCAGCAUGGGCUUGGUUUGUAAACUAGCAGUACAGAGUUCUGCCUGCUGCUCCAGGCUGCUGGGGAGAAACUGGACUCUUUACACUGUUCCAUUUCUGAACCAUCUGCUUAGUAGGAAGGAUACUUUCCCCCUUUUAUUUCUAAACAAUAAUUUAUGUUCAGCCUGCACAGAGCCCAGUAAAUACUUGUUAAAAAUGCCAAUGAUCAGGGCCUCUCUAGUACCAGGGACCUAGGCUAUCAUCAUUGUGUGGAGGUAAUGAUGGAUCUAGGUGACCCUCUUCAAAGGUGGGCCACGACUCCAUCCACACCACUCCAGUGAGCAUGCCUAGAUCUGUCUUGGAUCCCUAGAGAAGGGGCUGAGGUACCCUUUUCCUUUUUCCCUGGUGGUGGAACCUAGCUUGGGGCAGAAUUCGGUGGGGUGUCUGGGCCUGCUACCUCUUGCUUCAAGAGCUGAAGGUCACCCCAGUAGUUUGCUUUGCAGUUAGUUAAAGUCUUGAAUCUUGAAUAUUCUGAAGCCUUAGAGCUGGGAAGUUGAAGAAAGAGAACGAGAGCCCAGGAAAAAAAAAAAUGAACUUUUACUUCAUAGUUAAUUAAAUUCACAGGAUCCUUAGUUUCCUGAAGUCUUAGAGCUUAGAAUGUGAUAAAAGCUUUGGAACCAGACCCCAGAAAAAUGCACAGAUACACAUAGUUAUUUGAGUAAUUUGAGGUUGUUCAUGGAUUCCCUGAACACCCAGGGAGUUAAGAACCCUCAAUUUAAUACAAUUGCUUUAUUCUACAGAUGAGAGAUCUGUGGCUCAGAAAGACACAGAGAUUUGUCCCAAGUUACAUAUUGAUUGUCAGUUUCUGCACAGUUCUUUUUCUAUGAUCAAAGAGGAUGAAGUCUAGAGAAGAGAUAGGCAAAGGACUUCUCUAUUACAGUGGUAAACAGGAUGAAGCAUGAAAGGUUUGGAUCAGACACACAGGUGGACUUUCCCCAACAGUUUUAGAUGUUGGAAUAGGGUAUGGAGUCUCAUUCAACAAAU
rnacentral:lncRNA from 1 species